rnacentral:lncRNA from 1 species
UUUCUGUGCUGUAAGCCCUUCCUUACCCUUGUUUUCCAUGCGGUUAUGGAGAAUGCUUAUUUUGAGAAGCCGUCAGGAUGGAUUUAGAGCUGUUGUGACCUGGUGGCCAUCCUUGAGACCCCAAGCAGCCCCCUUUGCUCCGAAGCCUGGCAUCCUGCGGUCGUGCUGCCAGCUGGAUUACAACUAGUGCAAAAGUCUUCAGCUUUUUAGGCUUGGCACGUAGCGAGGCAUUCUGGGGUUUGCAUGGGAAUAGAGAUGUGGUAACGAGCGUGUGCGUGAGCAUUUGUCUCGUGGGUAACCGCUCAAGCCAGCAUCGAGCUGCCAGACGUGUGCUGCGUUCAGGUUAUGCAGGGUUGGGAAGGAUCGGGCCUGAGCACCACCGCUGGUGGGACUCCGCACGGCCCAUCUUAAGCUUGCAGGCCGGCUGGCUCUGUAAGCAAAAUAAUAAUGAAGAUAAUUGCUCAUAAUUUCCACUGUCUUGUUGGUAUCCAGAAGCCAAGCUGAACAACCAGAGAAUCCUAAUUUCCUUGGUACGAUGAUGCCCUUGUCAGGAUUGGGUAAGCAGCGCAAAUUGGUUUCCUUUCCUAUUCCAGUCAGGCUCCUAAAACAGCUCCUCUCUGCUCUUACCUUUGAUGAACAGACCGUCGUUAUUAAUACUGAUGCUUGUGGUGCCAAGGGGCUUCCGCCGAGCAGGGCUGCUUCGUGCUGAAAGGGGCACAGGAAAGCCUCCAGUGGUGCCUUGUCCCUGUCCUGUCCGGGGCCAGGACACAGCAGAAAGCUGCCCCGCUGUUCAGAGGUGGGGUUCUUCGUGAUGGGGCUGUUUAGCCCAGGCUCUAGCUGCGAUUUGCUUGCAAAAAAAAUAGCGUGGAAAAAUAAAAAAUAAAAUAAAAAUGCACCCCUCCUUUGAGAUGGGGAUGGGGGAUCUGGGAACGAAGCGGUGGCUGUGGCUGGCUAGGUGGGGCAGAGCUGGGACAGCUGGGACCAGAGGGGAUGGGGCUCGUCUGGGUCCUGUGUGGCAGCACUGCAGAGCACACAGCUGCAACCUUUUUCUUAUAAGGCCAGAAAGGCGUCCCCUUCUUACAGUGGGGAAGAGAAGCUGUGAGCACCCUGCUGCAGAAGGGCACGUGGAGAUACGGCCGUUUGCUGGACAACUGGUGUUGGGGUGUGUUUGCUCUGCAACUGGGGGGCGCACAGCCGCUGGGAGCAGAUCCCCCCUGAUUUAG